rnacentral:tRNA from 1 species
UGUAGCUUAGUGGUAGAGCACUUGCCUAGCAUGAGCAAGAUCCUGGGUUUGAUUCCCAGCA